rnacentral:rRNA from 1 species
UACGUAGGGUGCGAGCGUUGUCCGGAAUUAUUGGGCGUAAAGGGCUCGUAGGCGGUUUGUCGCGUCGGGAGUGAAAAUCCAGGGCUUAACUCUGGACUGGCUUCCGAUACGGGCAGACUAGAGGUAUGCAGGGGAGAACGGAAUUCCUGGUGUAGCGGUGAAAUGCGCAGAUAUCAGGAGGAACACCGGUGGCGAAGGCGGUUCUCUGGGCAUUACCUGACGCUGAGGAGCGAAAGAGUGGGGAGCGAACAGG